rnacentral:rRNA from 1 species
UACGUAGGGUGCGAGCGUUAAUCGGAAUUACUGGGCGUAAAGCGUGCGCAGGCGGUUUUGUAAGCCAGAUGUGAAAUCCCCGGGCUUAACCUGGGAAUGGCAUUUGGGACUGCAAGGCUUGAGUGCGGCAGAGGAGACUGGAAUUCCCGGUGUAGCAGUGAAAUGCGUAGAUAUCGGGAGGAAUGCCGAUGGCGAAGGCAGGUCUCUGGGCUGACACUGACGCUCAUGCACGAAAGCGUGGGGAGCAAACAGG